rnacentral:rRNA from 1 species
AACCAACGCUGGCGGCGUGCCUAAUACAUGCAAGUCGAACGCGAAAGUGGAGCAAUCCAUGAGUAGAGUGGCAAACGGGUGAGUAACACGUGGGUGACCUGCCUUCAAGUGGGGGAUAACGUCCCGAAAGGGACGCUAAUACCGCAUAACAUCCUGCCUUUUAAGAGGUGGAGAUCAAAGCUGGGGAUCGCAAGACCUGGCGCUAGAAGAGGGGCCCGCGCCUGAUUAGCAGUUGGUGAGGUAACGGCUCACCAAGGCAACGAUCAGUAUCCGGCCUGAGAGGGCGGACGGACACACUGGGACUGAGACACGGCCCAGACUCCUAC